AUACAAAUCACCUGGGGUAUUGUUAAAAUGCAGAUUCUGGCUCCAUGGAUUUGAGGUGUAGCCUGAGAGUGUGCAUUUUUAACAAGCUCCCAGGUGAUGCUGUU
rnacentral:pre_miRNA from 1 species